UCGGGAAGUAGCUCAGCUUGGUAGAGCACUUGGUUUGGGAUCAAGGGGUCGCAGGUUCGAAUCCUGUCUUCCCGAU
rnacentral:tRNA from 1 species